rnacentral:snRNA from 14 species
AUACUUACUUGGACAAGGUAAACGGUUGAUCAUGAAUGCCCCUGGCCUAGACUGGUGACAUACCUAAGACCGGUCCUAAUGGUUGAGCCUAAGUCAUAAUUUACGACAAGGGGGCCUACGUUCGUGUGGCUCCUGC